AAGCCUGCCAAUCCUAAACCCCACCUAUGUCUCUUCUGCACAACUAUUGACAUCUUUAUUCACCAAUCAGAAUUAACUUGGGGACAGGGUCCCAUGAGUCUGUGUGCAGACUCCAGGUCUUGGGGGCCCACACUUAGCAUUACAAUAGACAGUAAAAGGCGAAACCUCAACACUGGACCUUUACAGAGAAUUACCCAGCAGAUGGGAUUAUCGUGUUCUCUCACAGCCACAGCAAAGGAUGUCAGUGUGUCAGUCACUUUCCUGUUGUGAUAACACACAAUGACCAGGAAGUGGGAAGCUAAGAAAAAUCACUUCUGUCACUGCAAACAGAGCAGAGAGAGAGAACAGACAGGACUGUGGCCAUGAUCACUCGAUGCCCACCCUCAGUGGCGUGCUUCCUCCUGCAUGGCUGCACCACCUAAAGAUUCCAUGACUUCCCAAACAGCACAUGGAACCUUGGAUACUCGUUAACCAUCCACAUAUCCAGUCCCUACCUCACUCAAGAUCUAUAAAAGCAAAGCUAGGAGGGAGGUAGUUAAAUCUGGAUUCUAACAAAUCCCCGAGAGGAACGUGGCCCGCGAGAGGGUCAGAGUUCAUCGUGUAAAACGAAGGCAUCCUGUCAAGACUGAAAUGACGUCAUCAACCGCGUGCCUGUCCAGGUGAGAUCCACAGCUGUCAACACUUCCCCAGUUCGAAGACAGCUUCUUGGUAAACUGGGUUCUCUGAGGGAAUCUCUGUGGACAGGAAAGGGCAAAGGAGCAAGGUCAGCUGAUGCUGACAAAAGGAGGGGCCUAUGGAUUCCAUCACUGUCAGCCAACAUCUUCCUAGGAAGCCACGAAUGAGCAUCAAAUCUAGGUGGUCGAGGCAGACUCUGAAGUUUAGGUCUGAACGAGACCCUAACAGGAAAACAGCGGGGGGCCUUACAUUCCAGGCCUGGUAACCUGUCUUCACUUAGGGCCUCAUGCCCAGUCGUUGGGUCUAGAGUUCCACCCUGACACCGUGGCACCCAACUGCAGCCGAUAGACAAGCCCCUCUCGCGGAAAGGACCAUUCUUCUGGCUACCUAGUUUCGUCCUGCAGCAGCAAGGCUGGAUAGUCUGUGACCACUUCAGGACUGGAUUAUCAUUUUCAGAGCAACGCAACAGAGAGCUCAGCUCCUUGGUCUAUGUCCGGAGGUGGCGCCCGACGCUCCAGCUUGCGGCCUGAAGAUCCCAGGGCCUCGACUUUUUGGUGCACACAGCUCUGGAGCCAGAAAGUAUACACACACCAUAAAUUUUCCCGCCCCACCCGGCUCGCCCCUCAGCCGACUCUCAGCGCUGGCCCUUUCUUCCCGCACUAGUAACUGCAGCCCGAGGCUGGGCACUUCGGGUCCCGCAAUCGUGGGCAGGGCUGUGCAGCUGUCUAGCCGCUGCAAGAACGCAAGAACGCAGUAGCAGCGUUAGAACUCUGAGCGUCGCCUGCGGGAAGCUCCGACACUACCUACCUAGCGGGGAAGACUUGGAGAACUCAGUAGAGGGGAAAGAAAGUGGAUCAGAUGAGAAUGGAAGAAGCCCGGAUGGCCGGCGGCUUUUUUAUAGUUUGUAUGUCUUCCUACACUGUAAAGCCACCAUGUAGAUACAAAGUAAACAGCCCGUUGCUUAAAG
ensembl:lincRNA 4930488B22Rik RIKEN cDNA 4930488B22 gene